CAAUCUUUGCUUUCCCUUUCGUUGAAGAUGGAAUAAAACUUGGGUUGUUCAAGUGAUUCACAUGUGAAUUCUCCUAGGAAGUACAAAAUAAGACAUUAGUCAAAAAAUGCAAACUAAUAUCAAAAUGAAUUUUUUUAACAAUACCAGUAGCGUUACCUUAUCCAUAUGUAAUUGAUUAGACGCACAGGUAUGUUGUUACUAUCACUUAGAUCAACCUGUAAGAGCAAACUUAAUAAAUUAAACAUGAGUUAAACAUGAACAAAUGAAGAUGCAAAGACAGAUACAUUCAAUACUAUUGUUUUGAAGAUAGUUGAGGUUUUAAACUGUUGGAAGAUAGUUGUUACUACUGUUACUAUACAUUCAAUACUAUUGUUAUUAUACAUUCAAUACUAUUGUUUUGAAGAUAGUUGAGGUUAUAAACUAUUGAAGACAUUGAAUAUUAAUUUACUACUGCUGGGUAUAAGGAUCCUUUGGCAAUAAGAAUAUGUAAACAGUCAUUUUCCAUUCUUUACUUCUUUCUUUUUCUUGUUUUUCACCCAAUUAAUGAAGCCUCUUUGUGUUCUUUCUUUCGAUUCUUUUGAACAAAAACUCCAUUAACAACCUAUAUCAAAAAUGUAGCACAUGAAAUAGGAGCAAUAUAAAGAAUAGGAGCAAUUUAAAAAUGUAGCACAUGAAUUUUUGAUAUUUUCACAUGGUCCCUGUCACAUGAAGGUGGAACCUACUUUCUUCUCAUGUGAGGGGAUUAUGUAGAAAUAUCAAGAACACAUGCGAAAAUAUCAGUAUUAUUAUAAUUUUGAUUGUAUUUGUAAAUGGUUAGUAUGUUAAGAAUAAUUCAAAGAAUAGGAUGACAUAGUGUUUCCUUCUAUUACAUGCUAGUAAUCUUAUUGCAUCACAUUCGCAAAGGAAAGGUAGCUUAAAAGAAAAAUGGGUUAGCAUUAUUAUCAAGUUUUGAAGCUAAUAGAUUGAUAUGAUCUUUUAAGUUUAUCCAUGGUAAAAAGUGCUUAAAGGUAACUUUUAAUCAACAUUAAUAUUCAUUAGUUAUUGUAAACAAAUAUAAUACAACACAAUACAAAACAGCUAGUGUAAUUUCAUAGCUUAAAGAUCAUUAGUUAUUGUAAACAAAUAAAAAUAAAAAUUUAAUUUCACAAAAAGUUCAAAUAAAGGUCUUCCAUCUUCAUUCCUAUCCCACAUCUUCUAGAUUUUCAAUUAAUAUUAACUCAAUAUUCAACCUUUCAUAAAAUUCAAAAAAUGCAAAGAAAUUAUCAAAUGUAAUUAAAACAAAAGUAACUUAAAGUGGAGUUCAGAAAUUAAAGCAAAUUAAGAGAUGCUAAUGUAUUUUUCAUAAUAUUAAGACCAAAGAAAAUGGAAACUUCCUUUUUCUUUAUUAAUGUUGUGAGUGAUUACAUGCUGCCGAAUUAAUGAUCAUUUGGUUCAUCGAUAACUCAUUUUUAUUGGCAUAGAGGUCGAGAAUUAGAUUCUCGUUAAAAUUACGUUACAAAGAAAAGUUCAACAAAUGCAUGUCCAGGAGGCAGUCGUGCACUUUAAAAUUUGAAAACAGUAACUUAGCGUGAAAGUUACUAACAAUAACCUGUAAGUGUUUAUAUACUAACGAUAACCCAUGCAUGAAGGCACUGUAUAAUCAGUGUUUGCCUAAGAAUAUGGACACACACUAAACUAAUUGCAGUUGGUCCAAUCAGUGUUUGCCUUAUUCUAGCAGCUCUUUAUCAUAUUGCUUCCUAUUAUGUUAGUUUUUACCUCGGUACCAAUAUCUCCAACGGAGGAAAGCCUUCUCCCUGAGCCUCAAACACAAGAUUCGAGUAAAACUAAGCACAAUGUAAAUGAGAAAACCUCAUAAAUAGAUUCACUGACCUAACCAGUAUCCUUUAAUUCUUCGUGGCAUACACCAGUUCUCAUUUAAGGUAGCUUUCAAUGUAUCUAAACAAACAUGAGGGAGAUAGAAAAAAGAUACAAAAUGCACAUGGUGAGUAAAGCUUAAUAGAGAAAUUCCACUAUGAUUCUCACAAAAAGAUCAAAAGCAGAAGCAGGAUAUUCCACUAUGGUGAGUAAAGCUUAAAUUUUUAGCUGUUUAUAAUCAUUUUUAUUUGGGCUUUCAUUCAUUUUCAUCCAAUAUGUCAUAUGAUAAUGUUCCUUUUACUCAUUUUCAUCCAAUGUGUUAAUUUCAAGUGGAGUUUCGGUGCAGCCAAAGCAGAAAACUGGGUUAGUACAAGGAGGGUCUCAAUUCCAUCAAUGGAAUUCUCCCGCACAGUCUUUACAGGGAAUGCAAGCAAUGGGAAUGAUGGGAUCUUUUAACUUAGGCUCACAAAUGUUAGGAAAUGGGUCACUCACGUAUGCACAACAGCGUAUGAAUCAAGGACAAAUGAGGCAGCAAGGCCUCAUUUUUGGUCAAACCAGACACUAUAAAGUGUAGCUUGUCACUUAUGAGGGCAUCCAAACAUUUAAGCAAAGUUACUCAGUGUUCAAUGGUGAAUGGUGAAUUUCCUAACAUGAGUAAUAUCGAGCUCAAUGGUGAAUUUCCUGUGCAGGAAUUUUGAGAUUGGGUUUAAUGGAUGAAGGAACUAUAUGUCCUGUGCAAAAUGGUGAAUUUCCUGUGCAAAAUAAAGUUACUCAAUGUUAAUUUUUUUUUAAAGUAAAAAAAAAUAGUCACACCCAAUCUCUCCUACCCCCACCCUCUCUAUUUUUUUUGUUUACCUAAAGUUUAGAGGGCAAAGUUUGGACUAUAGUUGACACUUUACAUUUCUUACAUUUGUUGUUUCAUCAUUAGUUGCUGCUGAAACUGUAAACAACCCAAAACAUUAGUUUCUCAACCCAAAACUGUAAACUGGUUAGCUUGAUGUAAUUUGGCACAUCGACGUGCAUCACAACUACUAAUAUUACUGCUACUGCUGCUACUAAUUUUUAUCUAAUAAACACAUCAAAACUACCAACACAUUGCAAGCAUGAAUUUUGUAGCUUACAUUUAAGCUAGUGUCAUAAUUACCAAUAGAAAAUACCAUAACAAUAGCUAAAUAGUUCAUUAAUGCAACUUUGAUGUACUCUUGCAAUAAGCAGAUAGCUAAUGCUUCCAGUGGAAGAGCACGUGGAGAUACAUGAACAUACAACAGUUUCAAAAUACCGGAAUACCCAAAUGAAGCGUCACUUACCCAAUCAUAGUUCUUAGCAAGAAAUUCAGCUACAGUUGAUUUAUGCCUUGUACAGAGUUCCUGCAACAAUUAUGUUACAAAGAAUCACUGUAAUUCUAAGGCCUAUGCACAUAAACACAAAUCAAAUGACUACUAAAUAUACAUAAUUGCCGUUCAAAAUCUAGGCAUCAACAUAGAAAAAACAAACAAAAUGUAACCACAAUAACUCCCCCAGUUUUAUCCUCCUUUCAUUAUCCCACAAAAACCAAAUGUAACAAUAGAAGAGUGCAAAAGGAAUCUAUAACAAUAGAAGAAUAUACAAAUUUUAUGCGGUCCAAUUCCAAAAGUAAACCAAGUUAACUAACAAAAUACAAAAAGAACAGAUCAAUCGGCUAAAAAAAAACUAUGAACUAUACCUCAAAUGUGAUCUUGAGAGGCUCAUCAACUGUAAUAAGAGAGGAAAAAAAAAACAAAAAGCAAAUGUUAGGGUUUUGGAAAUCUGACUUGACCCAGUUCAAAAAAACUAAAACCCAAAUCCCAAAUUUCUCUGAUUCAACUCCAUGUCUCUGAAAAAAGUUGAAAAUUUGAGCAGAUUGAUUUGCUUUGGGCAAGUUGUAAACCCACCAGAAAUAAAAAAAAUAGAAGGAAGAUGUCCGCCGGCUUGAUCGCAUCAAUAAUCCCCUGCGAUGAAGAUGUCCUCUGCGAUGAAGAUUGAGCUGCAACUUUUUCUCUACUCGGCGUGUAGCAAUUUUUGAAAUCAGAGCCGAUCUGUUUGAAAUAAGAGGUAUAAGGAGAGUUUUUUAAAUAUGAGCCGAUCUGAUUUUUGCAGAGUUUCAUACAUCUAGCUUGGUAAACUUUACUCUCUCAUGAAAAGUAAAGUUUAUUUAAGUUAUUUAUAUAUUAAAGCAAAUUCAUACAUCUAGCUUAGUAAGGCAUAGUAGCAAAUUAUGAUAUUAUGAAUACAAAUAGCCCUUACAGUAGUACAUGUGGUCAGGAGCGUUGGUGCUUACAGGCGAUUGAAUAACAUAUAGCAAAGUAGUAUGGAAUAAACAUUAAAAAAAGUAACAACAAUUUAGAGAAAAUAAAGGCUUGAGCUUCUUCAACAAAAAAUUAUAGAAAGAAUACCCAAUACAAUUAUCUGCACAGAGAGGAUGAUACAAAGAAAAUUUGAAACAAAAAUAAUAGGGAACUUACAAGAUUUAAAGGGUUAAGAUUUCAUCAGGUGAUUGUGUGAGAGAGAUCUAGAGAAUUGAAGUGAAACCCCCAAUUUAGCACUGCUUCAAACGAAUCUUACCGCGAAAAAUCUGAGAAAACCCCUAACUACAGGAAGAACCAGCCAAAAAUAAAACAGUAUAAUCUAUAAGGAAGAACUUAGUCUUGCAAAAUCCAUCAAUUUUUCAUAUAGGGCUUCUCAGAGAUAGUCGUAUCUUUGUAUCCAGAGCUUCUCAAAGAUGGUGCAAAAUCAUUUUACGCUCUCUGGUUCUUCCGUAGCCUUACUUUUCCUUUCCAAGUUCCUCUCUCCCCUCAAACUC
rnacentral:lncRNA from 1 species